AGGAUAAACGCUGGCGGCGUGCCUAACACAUGCAAGUCGAACGCCCUUUUGCUCGCAAGAGCCAGAGGGAGUGGCGGACGGGUGAGUAACACAUGGGUAACCUACCCCCCAGUGAGGAAUACCGGCGAGAAAUCGCCGACAAGACCGCAUAGGCUCGGUCCGGUGAAGCGGAGCGAGCAAAGUCUCGCAAGAGACGCUGAGGGAUGGGCCUGUGGCCGAUUAGCUAGUUGGUAAGGUAAAGGCUUACCAAGGCGACGAUCGGUAGCUGGUCUGAGAGGACGAACAGCCACACUGGGAUUGAGAACGGCCCAGACUCCUACGGGGGGCAGCAGUGAGGAAUUUUCCGCAAUGGACGCAAGUCUGACGGAGCAACGCCGCGUGCAGGAGGACGCUUUUCGGAGUGUAAACUGCUUUUCUGUGGGACGAGCGAGGACGGUACCACGAGGAAGAAGCCCCGGCUAACUACGUGCCAGCAGCCGCGGUAA
rnacentral:rRNA from 1 species